CUAAAAAGGGUCUUGAUACUAUUUGUCCUUCGUACGACAAAGCCCUCCUUGCAGAUUGAUACGAAAGUAGCUACUUGAGUUAAAGAAAUCGGUUUCAAUCGGUAGAGGUGCUCCGAGUUUUUCCCAUUUGCUGAGGAUGAUGUUUUAUUUCGCAUGCCAACAUUAAUCAUUUUCGGGUUGUCAAAGAUACUAGAGGUCAGUUUUUACUUGUCCAGGUAUGGCUAUUUACGAACAAAAGUCUCGGGCUUAUCUUUCUCCGCAUACUUGAAGACGGCAUAAGAGCAUAUAUAGAAGGCGGCGUCUUCGGCUUUUUUCCACUCAGGAUUUGAAACUUUAUCUUGGUGUGCCCCUCCAUGCGAGGCAUAUCAAGUUGACUUUUAAGCAUAUUAUAAUGUUAAUCACAGAUUGGCAGAUUUGUUGGCUUCCAUCCUUAGUUUGUGAUGAGAUGGAUAGGAUUUCAACUUUCCUAAACAGUAUGGAGGUCUGGGACUUAAAAUGGCUAGAUAUAUCUAAUAAUAUCGCAAUAAUGCUCGGUAAUCUAGCCUGGAAGCUCUUACAAGGUGAUGCUUUGCCUUGGAUUGUCAGUAUGACAGAAGUAUAUCAAAGGUUCUAAUAAACUGUCCUGUCUCUUCCUUGUUCUGCUUCUCCGGUUUGGAAAGCUAUACACAAAGCUUCGACUUACUUGCUGUGAUGGAUUCUGCGGCAUGUCGGAGACGGGGCUGCCAUUAACCCAUAGAGAGACUCGUCUAGUUUCUUCUUCAUUGAUAUUAGAGAUAAAGACUUGAAGGCCUUCAAUUGGUGAUGCUGGGGGUGUCUUGUUCCUAGGGCCUUAGACCUUGCUUUUGUUCCCUAAUUACCAAAAAAAAGAAGAAAAGAGCCGAGGUCGAGCUUCUUCUCCAUUGUUGCCUUAAUAACUGUUUAUCUUCGUUAAUCAAAUAAAAAUAAUAUUUAAGUAAUGAAUUUCCCUUCUUAAUUCUAAUAACUACAACUAUUCAUUGACUUUGGUUUUCUUUUGGUUUUUAAGAACAAAGGAGAGAGCUGGAAAUAAGGGAGAGAAACCAUGUUUUUUCCUCCAU
rnacentral:lncRNA from 1 species